CCACACAGUCCAGUAUGCCCUCCAGGAAGACUCUGCCAAGAAAUCCGUCACCAAGCCCAUCAGGCCUCGAAAUCGAGCUUCCAUAAGGAGUCUGGACAAGUCAGACAGAUCCGUCGAUCCUCUGGCGCUGCCUCGCGAAACCGCUCCCACUGCAAUCGAGACAGGGCGUCAGCCACCACAUUUUUCACACCCGGGACAUGACGCGCCCGCACCCAAACAUUAAACUGCAGACUAAGUAGCACGAGCCACCGGAGAAGCGCCAAAACCGGAGGAGACGAGGAGGACGACCGAGCAAUCACAUGGACGACACUCAUGUUGUCCGUGUGAAAG